AUACGGAGGGAGCAAGCGUUAUUCGGAAUCACUGGGCGUAAAGGACGCGUAGGCGGGUUUGUAAGUCAGGUGUGAAAUCCUACAGCUCAACUGUAGAACUGCACUUGAAACUACAGACCUAGAGUAUGGAAGGGGCAGAUGGAAUUAGUGGUGUAGGGGUAAAAUCCGUAGAUAUCACUAGGAAUACCGAAAGCGAAGGCGAUCUGCUGGGACAUUACUGACGCUGAGGCGUGAAAGCGUGGGGAGCGAACAGGAUUAGAAACCCUAGUAGUCC
rnacentral:rRNA from 1 species